rnacentral:rRNA from 1 species
UGGGGGAUUUUGCACAAUGGGCGCAAGCCUGAUGCAGCGACGCCGCGUGAGGGAUGAAGGCCUUCGGGUUGUAAACCUCUUUCGCUGGGUUGAAAGGCCAUGCUUUGGGUGUGGUUGAUUUGAACUGGUAAAGAAGUACCGGCUAACUACGUGCCAGCAGCCGCGGUAAUACGUAGGGUACUAGCGUUGUCCGGAUUUAUUGGGCGUAAAGGGCUUGUAGGUGGUUUGUCGCGUCUGUCGUGAAAUCCUGUGGCUUAACCAUGGGCUUGCGGUGGGUACGGGCAGGCUUGAGUGCGGUAGGGGAGACUGGAAUUCCUGGUGUAGCGGUGGAAUGCGCAGAUAUCAGGAGGAACACCGGUGGCGAAGGCGGGUCUCUGGGCCGUUACUGACACUGAGAAGCGAAAGCGUGGGGAGCGAACAGG